CCGGUGUUGAUCGAAUUAUUGUUACUGGUGGAUUUCUAGAGGAAUCAAAAGAAGCUCUUGCUAUUGCUGAAACUGAUGCAAGACUUUUUUGCAUGGUUGAUG